rnacentral:rRNA from 1 species
UAGGGAAUCUUCCACAAUGGACGAAAGUCUGAUGGAGCAAUGCCGCGUGAGUGAAGAAGGUUCUCGGAUCGUAAAGCUCUGUUGUGAGGGAAGAACAAGUACGGGAGUAACUGUCCGUACCUUGACGGUACCUCAUUAGAAAGCCACGGCUAACUACGUGCCAGCAGCCGCGGUAAUACGUAGGUGGCAAGCGUUGUCCGGAAUUAUUGGGCGUAAAGCGCGCGCAGGCGGCCUUUUAAGUCUGAUGUGAAAGCCCACGGCUCAACCGUGGAAGGUCAUUGGAAACUGAAAGGCUUGAGUACAGAAGAGGAAAGCGGAAUUCCACGUGUAGCGGUGAAAUGCGUAGAGAUGUGGAGGAACACCAGUGGCGAAGGCGGCUUUCUGGUCUGUAACUGACGCUGAGGCGCGAAAGCGUGGGGAGCAAACAGGAUUAGAUACCCUGGUAGUCCACGCCGUAAACGAUGAGUGCUAAGUGUUA